UUUGCAUGCUAGCUGCCUUCCUUGGAUGUGGUAGUCAUUUCUCAGGCUCCCUCUCCGGAAUCGAACCCUGUUUCCCCCAUUACCCAUGGUAACCAUGGUAGAAAGUGGCAUCGAUAAUGUCGACAGCUACUCUGCUGAAUGUUCGGCAGAGUAGCUGUCGACAUUAUCGAUGCCACUUUCUACCAUGGUUACCAUGGGUAACGGGGGAAACAGGGUUCGAUUCCGGAGAGGGAGCCUGAGAAAUGACUACCACAUCCAAGGAAGGCAGCUAGCAUGCAAAUUACCCACUCCCGAUACGGGGAGGUAGGGAUGA